AAGUGUUUGUUAAAAGACCUUCCAGCUCCAUGAUCCAAAGGAUAGCUAUAUCAUCAUAGCAGCCUUCCAAUCCUGAGGGGUCAGCAGGCUGGUCUGCUGCGAUACGUCCAUGGAUUCCUGCCUGAGCAUCAUAUUUGCGGAACCUGUUUCCCAGGCUUAUGAUCAGGGACGUAAUAAGGAGCAAUCGUCUCCGGACAACGGACAGGUCACUCAAGUAACAAAAUGUGAUACAGGAAUAAUUGGAAAAGACACACUUUAUUAUGUAUUGAAGAAUUUUUCUGGAGAUUGUAACUGCAUAUGGAUGAAAGUAGAAAUAAAAAAUAGAUGUACAACGAAAAACAACCUCAUGCCAGAUUUCUGGAUUGAACCGAGUAUGUGGGACUGGACACUGCCACACCUUGGAGGGAUGUGCUGCCAAGUGGAGCUCGCGAGAGAGGCCAGCUGUCUGUCAGAACCUGGCAUUCCAUCUUGUGUGUCCCAAGACCCAAUUCAGAGAUCUGUCUUGAGAUGAACACAAUCAUAAGCUACUGAAGAUCUUGUUAACUCACAGUGAAGGACACUUCUUCCCUCGGAAAGAAGUUCGCAUCUGCCAUCAGGGAAGAACCGUAUUCCCCAGCUCGGGGAAAGUGGUUUGGAACUGGAAAGGUGGCUCGGUGAGCUUGGGGUCGGGUCAAAGGCAGAGACAACCACAGAGGACAUUUUCUCAGAUGUUGUAGAUAUUGACUGCCUAGUGACCAUUCCCACUCUUCUCCGUUGUGUUCAGAACUUGGAACUGGUUAGCCCAAUACGUACACUCCUAUGUUAAAAGAGAAAGGCUCCUUUUAAUGGAGACUUCUGCUGAGAAGCCGGCAUGUGGCCUCAGCUUGCUCUGUCUCUCCUAGGCUUUUGCUUCUUGAAUAAGAGUAAUAGUUGGAGCUUAUUUAUACUGGAGACCCACCCAGAUUUCAUGAAAAAUACAUCAUCAUAACAUUGAUAUAUGGACCCUGUAGCAUCCAAUUUCUUGGAGGCAUCUGUACCUGAUAAGGAUGCUGGUCAUGCACUCAUAAACGUGGGGGCAAUAUAAAUGAGAUGAUGCCCCAUGGAAUAUAAUAUACACAGAUGCUUUUCUGAAAUACGCUCAUAUCCUUUGGAAAUAAGGCAAGUUGGCUCUCUACCUUGGCUCUGAAUGAAAUAAUGUUCUGGGUUGGGGAGGCAGGUAAUAAAAGCCACAAUUGUGAAGUGUUA